rnacentral:rRNA from 1 species
CUGACGGAUCACGCCGCGUGAGUGAUGAAGGUUUUCGGAUCGUAAAACUCUGUUGUUAGGGAAGAACAAGUGCAUAGUAACUGAUGGCACCUUGACGGUACCUAACCAGAAAGCCACGGCUAACUACGUGCCAGCAGCCGCGGUAAUACGUAAGUGGCAAGCGUUGUCCGGAAUUAUUUGGGCGUAAAGCGCUCGCAGGCGGUUCUUUAAGUCUGAUGUGAAAUCUUACGGCUCA